GACGAACGCUGGCGGCGUGCUUAACACAUGCAAGUCGAACGAUGAAGCUUGGUGCUUGCACUGGGUGGAUUAGUGGCGAACGGGUGAGUAACACGUGAGUAACCUGCCCUUUACUUCGGGAUAAGCUUGGGAAACUGGGUCUAAUACCGGAUAUUCUGCACGGUCGGAUGGUUGUGUAGGAAAGAUUUUUUGGUAAGGGAUGGGCUCGCGGCCUAUCAGUUUGUUGGUGGGGUGAUGGCCUACCAAGACGACGACGGGUAGCCGGCCUGAGAGGGCGACCGGCCACACUGGGACUGAGACACGGCCCAGACUCCUACGGGAGGCAGCAGUGGGGAAUAUUGCACAAUGGGGGAAACCCUGAUGCAGCGACGCCGCGUGGGGGAUGACGGCCUUCGGGUUGUAAACCUCUUUCAGUAGGGAAGAAGCGAAAGUGACGGUACCUGGAGAAGAAGCACCGGCUAACUACGUGCCAGCAGCCGCGGUAAUACGUAGGGUGCGAGCGUUGUCCGGAAUUACUGGGCGUAAAGAGCUCGUAGGUGGUUUGUCGCGUCGUUUGUGUAAGCCCGCAGCUUAACUGCGGGACUGCAGGCGAUACGGGCAUAACUUGAGUGCUGUAGGGGAGACUGGAAUUCCUGGUGUAGCGGUGGAAUGCGCAGAUAUCAGGAGGAACACCGAUGGCGAAGGCAGGUCUCUGGGCAGUAACUGACGCUGAGGAGCGAAAGCAUGGGUAGCGAACAGGAUUAGAUACCCUGGUAGUCCAUGCCGUAAACGGUGGGCGCUAGGUGUGAGUCCCUUCCACGGGGUUCGUGCCGUAGCUAACGCAUUAAGCGCCCCGCCUGGGGAGUACGGCCGCAAGGCUAAAACUCAAAGGAAUUGACGGGGGCCCGCACAAGCGGCGGAGCAUGUGGAUUAAUUCGAUGCAACGCGAAGAACCUUACCUGGGCUUGACAUACACCAGAUCGCUGCAGAGAUGUAGUUUCCCUUUGUGGUUGGUGUACAGGUGGUGCAUGGUUGUCGUCAGCUCGUGUCGUGAGAUGUUGGGUUAAGUCCCGCAACGAGCGCAACCCUUGUCUUAUGUUGCCAGCACGUUAUGGUGGGGACUCGUGAGAGACUGCCGGGGUUAACUCGGAGGAAGGUGGGGAUGACGUCAAAUCAUCAUGCCCCUUAUGUCCAGGGCUUCACACAUGCUACAAUGGUCGGUACAACGCGUCUGCGAGCCUGUGAGGGUGAGCUAAUCGCUGUAAAGCCGGUCGUAGUUCGGAUUGGGGUCUGCAACUCGACCCCAUGAAGUCGGAGUCGCUAGUAAUCGCAGAUCAGCAACGCUGCGGUGAAUACGUUCCCGGGCCU
rnacentral:rRNA from 1 species